rnacentral:rRNA from 1 species
ACACUCCUGCGGGAGGCAGCAGUGGGGAAUAUUGGACAAUGGGCGCAAGCCUGAUCCAGCCAUGCCGCGUGAGUGAUGAAGGCCCUAGGGUUGUAAAGCUCUUUCACCGGUGAAGAUAAUGACGGUAACCGGAGAAGAAGCCCCGGCUAACUUCGUGCCAGCAGCCGCGGUAAUACGAAGGGGGCUAGCGUUGUUCGGAUUUACUGGGCGUAAAGCGCACGUAGGCGGACUAUUAAGUCAGAGGUGAAAUCCCGGGGCUCAACCCCGGAACUGCCUUUGAUACUGGUAGUCUUGAGUUCGAGAGAGGUGAGUGGAAUUCCGAGUGUAGAGGUGAAAUUCGUAGAUAUUCGGAGGAACACCAGUGGCGAAGGCGGCUCACUGGGUCGAUACUGACGCUGAGGUGCGAAAGCGUGGGGAGCAAACAGGAUUAGAAACCCUUGUAGCCCA